AAGAGAAGAAAUAGCCAUGUAGCUAUGACUUGCUAUUGCCAGUAAAUAAUUUUGAGCUGCUAAAUGGCAACUGUGCUGGCUCAUAAAUACAAGCGCCAACUAGAGCUCCAACCGAGCUGGCCGAGAAUUUAUUGGCAACACUUAAUCUAAGCUGUCAAUGUGGAUGCAACAGUAGCAGUACCAGCUCCAAAUAACAACAACAACAGUAAUUGGGGGAAACUAUCGUAAUUGUCGGGGAUUACGGAAAAAAACGUAAAAGUGCAGAACGGCACGUGAAUGCGGCCGUUACGUUCAGAAUUGGCCAAAGUGAAGAAGUCGUAAAGUUUUAGUUGCAUUCCGGCUUCUUGGCCCUCGAAUGAGACGCUUAAUUUAUGUUUCAAUUCCAAUUAGCCAACGAGGCGCUGGCUUUUAUGCUACUUUUCAUUUGUUUCGCUCUCAUAUGCACUGGAAAAAAGGAUGAGGAGGAGGAGUCAGGGGUCGUGGGAGAGCCACGUUUAUUAGCCAUGGCCAAAUGCAGCUAAUUGAAGUUCAAAUUGCGUUGGCGCAAGAGUCGAAGAGUCGAAGAAAGACGGCCAAAGGCGUCGAAAGGCCAGGGAAAAGGAAACCGUUGAAAUGUAAGCACUCACAUGUGAUUCCUGUCAGUUCAAUAAAUCGUUAAGUCAGACGACAACGCAGACGUAAACGAAGACGAAUCCACUUAAGACCACCACACAAUCGGCUAAGAAAAGCAGGGCCGAUAGCCAGGGAAAUAAAAUCAAGCAUAAAUGCAAUAAUACAAUUUAUGUGCCAAAUUUCAUGAGGACCAUAAUGGACACACCCAUGCACACCUUCUGUCCUUCUGCCAUGAUUUCUUCAGCACAUAUACGGAACCAACAAAGGUGACUUUCUGAAGUUCUCCUCGCAAUCGAUGUAAUCGUAAUCACAUUUGGCGCCGAGAUGUUGAUGCCAUUUGAUAUUUACGAGUGUGUGUCCAUUUUCGUUGGGCUGAACUUUUCCAGCACCGUCACUCCGGUCGAGGCAACAAUGUCCCAACACUUGGCCGAGUCCCAUCCACCUCUCGGCCCUUCUAUCAUCAUCCCCCAUCCUCGUACUGGGCCAGUCUCCUUUGGCAAGUUAACAACAUUUGCUUGACGUUUGCCAAUUGCAUUAUGACUCAAUUGUGAGUUGAACGAUUUUAUGGACGAGCUGCAGAAUCAGAAUCGGAAUCAGACACAGAGAGGCAACUUCAAGUCGAGUGUUGGUCCAUUGAGAAUGAAACGGAAACGGAAACGGAAACGGAAACAGAGUCUCUUGCCGGAUAACUCUUAUUGUGGCUUCAAAAUGAGUGGGUGUAUUGCAACAUCUGUGACAAUGUCUAGUUAGAAAAUGUAACCCUUCAAAGUUUGAGAUUUUAGCUUUAAGAUUUUUUAUAUUUUUUAAGUUAUAAUAAGCUUAACCUUAAACCUUUAACCAAAAGUCAUAGAGUCUUCUGAAGAGUCACUUUACUUUAUUGGUGCGAAAGCCAGAAAUAAACUCACAAU
rnacentral:sRNA from 1 species